rnacentral:rRNA from 1 species
GAUGAACGCUGGCGGCGUGCCUCAAACAUGCAAGUCGAGCGGGGCUAUGUAAUAUCGCAAGGUAGAACAUAGCCUAGCGGCGAACGGGUGAGUAACACGUGGGUAACCUGCCUGGAAGACAGGGAUAACGAUUCGAAAGGGUCGCUAAUACCUGAUAAUAUCCUUUCAUCGCAUGGUGAUAGGAAGAAAGGGGAAACCCGCUUUCAGAUGGGCCCGCGUCCCAUCAGCUAGUUGGUAAGGUAAAGGCUUACCAAGGCGACGACGGGUAGCCGGUCUGAGAGGAUGUACGGCCACACUGGGACUGAGAUACGGCCCAGACUCCUACGGGAGGCAGCAGUUGGGAAUCUUAGGCAAUGGACGAAAGUCUGACCUAGCGACGCCGCGUGAGGGAAGAAGGCCUUCGGGUUGUAAACCUCUGUCAUGGGGGAAGAAGUAAGUGACGGUACCCCAAGAGGAAGCCCCCUGCUAACUACGUG